GAGAGGGAGAUUCAGUUUAAGGUGGAGCUGACACGGGGGAUUAAAUUUAAGGUGAAGAUGACUCAGAAAAUUCAUUUGAAGGUGAAGCUAGUUCAAUUGACGUAGGACAAGCUACAUGGUAUGGUUCAGAAUUUGAAACCACUGAAGGAGAAAGUGAUGAUGGGGUAAUAAUCAAGAAGCUCUUGAGUGUUACAUUCUUGCAAGGGAAACAGGGAGAAGGGAAUCCAAGUUUCCUUCUAAGUAUAAU
rnacentral:lncRNA from 1 species